CCCAAAAUCUGGCAGUUAUUGAUUAGGCAGCUUUACUUUUUUUUCCCCAUUUCCUUCAUUGUAAUCUGAUCGUUUGUCCCUAGGGCCAAACAAUCAGAUUAACCCGAUAUCGCCCUGCCUUUGGUGAGCAUAUCAAGUUAAGAUCUGCUCGUUUGGAGACCUUGCAAAGUGGCUCUUGUUAACCUUGACUGGGAUAGGGACCUUAGGUUAUAAGAUCCAAUGGAGCAGAAACUGAUGUAAAUAAUUUAUAACCUCUGAAAAACGCUGCAGAAUAUGUUGACGCUAGAUAGAUAUAUAGAUGUGGGCAGGGGCAUAACUAGAGUGCACCGGGCCUCCCUGCAAAAAAAAUCCUCAGAGGGGCCCAGCACACUCCGAUCCCCAGCCUCCCACUUCCUGCCUCUGCCUACUUCCUGCCUCUGCCUACUUCCCACCCUGAUUCCAUCCACUCUCUGUCAGACUUCACCACAUGUCUCUGCUUCCCCGCUGCAGGUCCUGUGCAUGGGAGCAGAACAGAAUGACUUACCACUUGAGUAUCUGAAGAUGCUGCAAGACAUAGAAACCAACAACUUCUCUGGCCACAUUCCUAUCAUGGACCAGCUAAAAGAUGCAACUGAGAAACUGCAAAGUGCUUUGUAUCAGUAAUGGAAAUGAAGAGAAAUUGAACUUACUGUCAGCCUCUGACCUGUUGUGAAAGAGACUGGACAACAAUUGUAAAACAAGCGACUCCCUUCAGGGACUGGGUGGUUCAUUUGAUCUUUAUUUGCUUGGAAAUCAAAAAGAAUCAUUAUACAUUUUAUUGAUAGGUUUCCCCUCUGGGGACACUAGAGGGGGUCAUUUAUCAGUCAUGGUGCAGGUGCAGAAAUUGUGCACCCUGUAUCGUGGGUGAGCAAGCACAUCUGCACUUUCUGCAGAAAUACAGCACUCACUAUAUAACAGCAGUUUUUUAAAUAAUUCAUUCUCUAAGUAACUUUACACAUACGUAACUGCGUCUGUUAUGGAUGCUUUUUAUUUGUGAGACAGAUUGCUGUUUAAAAUGUACAGAAUAUAACAGAAUGUACAGUAAUAUAAUGGUAUCCUUUUGUGUUCUCAUACUUUAAUAGAAAUAAAUAUUUUGUGUAUUUGU